CGCGGCCUAUCAGCUUGUUGGUGAGGUAACGGCUCACCAAGGCAUCGACGGGUAGCUGGUCUGAGAGGAUGAUCAGCCACACUGGGACUGAGACACGGCCCAGACUCCUACGGGAGGCAGCAGUGGGGAAUAUUGCACAAUGGGCGCAAGCCUGAUGCAGCGAUGCCGCGUGCGGGAUGAAGGCCCUAGGGUUGUAAACCGCUUUCAGUAGGGAAGAAAAUGACGGUACCUACAGAAGAAGGUGCGGCCAACUACGUGCCAGCAGCCGCGGUGACACGUAGGCACCAAGCGUUGUCCGGAUUUAUUGGGCGUAAAGAGCUCGUAGGCGGUUCAGUUAGUCGGGUGUGAAAACUCUGGGCUCAACCCAGAGACGCCACCCGAUACUGCUGUGACUAGAGUACGGUAGGGGAGUGGGGAAUUCCUGGUGUAGCGGUGAAAUGCGCAGAUAUCAGGAGGAACACCGGUGGCGAAGGCGCCACUCUGGGCCGUAACUGACGCUGAGGAGCGAAAGCAUGGGUAGCAAACAGGAUUAGAUACCCUGGUAGUCCAUGCCGUAAACGUUGGGCACUAGGUGUGGGUCUCAACCAACGAGAUCCGCGCCGUCGCUAACGCAUUAAGUGCCCCGCCUGGGGAGUACGG
rnacentral:rRNA from 1 species